rnacentral:rRNA from 1 species
UUAUAUGAGAGUUUGAUCCUGGCUCAGGACGAACGCUGGCGGCAUGCCUAAUACAUGCAAGUCGAACGCACGAAGUUGAAAAGCUUGCUUUUCGACCAAGUGAGUGGCGGACGGGUGAGUAACACGUGGGUAACCUGCCCAUAAGAGGGGGAUAACAUUCGGAAACGGAUGCUAAUACCGCAUAUUUCAAGUGACCGCAUGGUCGCUUGAUGAAAGGUGGCUUCGGCU